AUAUUUUAAAAACUGUGUUGUUCACUGUCGAACCGGGAACAUGUGCUUUUUAUGUGCUUUACUGAUUAUAAUGACUGUGGUGUCAGGUGCGCGUGGCCAAGAUUCAGUUUCCCAGAAUCCACUUGAAAAAACGGUUCAGGAAGGAGACACUGUAAUAUUCAACUGUAAUUACUCAGCACAGUCCACUUCUCCAGUGCUUUUUUGGUACAUCCAGUAUCCCGGGAAAGCGCCCGGAUAUUUACUGAGAAGAUUCAACAAGGAAGAAGGACAUACCUUUCCAGAUUUCUCUGACAAGCUUUCUUCUACUCUGGACAAAGAAAAGAAAAUAUUUCCUUUAAAUAUCACUGCUGCUCUUGUCUCUGACUCUGCCGUCUAUCACUGUGCGCUGAGUCCCACGCUGAUAAAGAGUUGCAAUCGCUUCGCAUUCUUCGAAAUUCUAUCGAGUACAGUCUCAGGCAGUUCAACGUCUCCUCAAAGGGUAACCCCCCUCAUACCUGCAAUCAAUCUGGCGAACCGCCUCUUCACUGUCUCCAAAGCCAGAAAAUUCUCCCACAAGUAA